UUCGCAAUGCCCGAAAGGGUGACGAUGCGACGCCGCGUGAGCGAAGAAGGCCCUAGGGUUGUAAAGCUCUGUCGAGGGUUAUGAAAUAUAGAUGGGUUAAUACCCCACUUAUUUGACAAAAGCCCAAAAGGAAGCCACGGCUAACUCUGUGCCAGCAGCCGCGGUAAUACAGAGGUGGCGAGCGUUGUUCGGUAUUAUUGGGCGUAAAGAGCACGUAGGUGGUUUUGUAAGUCAGGUGUGAAAGCCUUUUGUUCAAAGGAAGAACGGCAUCUGAAACUGCAGAUCUUGAGUGUAGGAGGGGAGAGUGGAACUUCUGGUGGAGCGGUGAAAUGCGUAGAUAUCAGAAGGAACGUCGGCGGCGAAAGCGACUCUCUGGCCUAUUACUGACACUGAGGUGCGAAAGUUAGGGGAGCAAACGGGAUUAGAUACCCCGGUAGUCCUAACCGUAAACGAUGGGCACUAAGUAGAGGGGUUUU
rnacentral:rRNA from 1 species